rnacentral:rRNA from 1 species
AGAGUUUGAUCCUGGCUCAGAUUGAACGCUGGCGGCAUGCUUUACACAUGCAAGUCGAACGGCAGCACGGGGGCAACCCUGGUGGCGAGUGGCGAACGGGUGAGUAAUACAUCGGAACGUAUCCUUGAGUGGGGGAUAACGCAGCGAAAGUUGUGCUAAUACCGCAUGAGCUCUGAGGAGGAAAGUGGGGGACCGUAAGGCCUCACGCUGAAGGGGCGGCCGAUGUCCGAUUAGCUAGUUGGUGAGGUAAAGGCUCACCAAGGCUUCGAUCGGUAGCUGGUCUGAGAGGAUGAUCAGCCACACUGGGACUGAGACACGGCCCAAACUCCUACGGGAGGCAGCAGUGGGGAAUUUUGGACAAUGGGGGCAACCCUGAUCCAGCCAUGCCGCGUGAGUGAAGAAGGCCUUCGGGUUGUAAAGCUCUUUCGUGAGGGAAGAAACGGCCAUAGUGAAUAGCUGUGGUUACUGACGGUACCUCAAGAAGAAGCACCGGCUAACUACGUGCCAGCCGCCGCGGU